rnacentral:sRNA from 1 species
AUACAUAAAAGUGGUGCUGUUUUUUCAGAGGCUGGAAAGCACCAUUUUGCCAAGCAGUGCCUGCUAUCCUCAGCCUUAUCAGACAAAAAAACUCAAAAUAAACCCAUGAGCAGAAUUCCUGCAUCUCUAAUUACUCAAGCAUAUAUAUAUGUACAAAUUAAGUAGCAAUCUGGCUGGCAGAUCCCUUCAGCUCCAGCCGAUUUCUUCCUUCAGAACAUGCUCCCAAUCUGAUGACAAGCCAUAUUCAGAAUUGCCACUCAAAAUGCCGUCUGCUCCGGUGAAGCAUGAGUGGCCUGACGCUUCAUCCAUAGUGCUUAUUCUCGGUUCCCUGUGAACUCUGCUCGGUGCGAGUUGCGGUACUGGCUGAGCAUGAUGAUGCAAGCCAGUUUCCUCCAAGCCUGUUAAAAGGUCACCCUGAAAAUUAUUCGGUCGAGUAGGAUGGCUGAUGGUGCUUGCAGAGCAGCUAGGCACACUGUUAUCUCCUAACCGGAUGCAAUCACCAGUGUAAAGGAGGUCAGUGUUCCUUGCUCUUGAUGUCUCUUCAGUAGAAUCACCCUUAGGAAAACUCAGAGUUGGUGGGUAAGAUAUGGCAGCUCCAUAAGAAUUACUUGGACCUGCACCUAAAUCACAUGCCUGGAAAGAAGGAUUUCUUGGACCACCAAUAUGAGCCAUACUGGAUUCUUGGCCAAUUUUGAUACGGUUCUGUUUCAGUAGAUACUUCAACUCACAAUUUGUACGCUCAGCAUCAAUCCACAGAUUCUUAUAAAUGAGAAUCUGUGAGUGGUCUUCUUCACAGGAUAUCAUCCUUGGAAUAUUGUUGAAUGAAGGCUGGCCCCAUGUCAAGCUGUUCUUCCCAAAAUCACUGAGCACACGAGUAGGACCCACAGAUUUAUUUACAGUUAUGCCAUUUCCACCAUUGGUUGUACAACUACCUCUGUAGUCCCCUGCAUAAGAUUUUAAAACGGCGGACUGAGAAUGAGGAGCCCUUAGUCCUGCCUUAAAGACCACAAACAAUGCACCUUUUUUUUCCUAUCAAUACAUGUCUGAAGAUUCUCAAUUACUGAUUGGAGGAGAGUGUGCUCAUGCUCAUCGAGCUCAUUUUCAUCCAACAAACAGCUAUCGCGAAGCAUUUCUGACAAAUUCCCCAUUGCCUUGAGAAUUCCAGAAUUAGACUGACCUUUGACAAUUUUUGAUUUCCCAACUGAUGAAGGGAUAAAAUCAGGAGCAGCAAAGUUUAGACCAGAUCGCUUCACGCUAUUAUCUCUCAGCUCCAAACUGUGUUUCUGCUCUGCGGUGCAUUUUGCUGCACAUUGUUUUGCACUCUCAAGCUCCUUAUUGUGGGAAACUUCUUCCUCUUUUUUACCAUUGUCUCCAGAUUUCAUAGACACAGACAAUUCAACAUGAGAUUGGGAUUGGUUUUGCUUAUUCUCGAUAGUGUCCAAAUUUUGAGAUGCGGUCAGAACCUCACAAUGCUGAACAGUGCUAGUGCUCUUCUUUUGGCCAGCAUCAAAAGCCUCUGAUUCUUGAUUUAUUAACUGUGUCACUGACGUUUGAUGAGAAAGUGAAGUUCCUCUUCCUCUCCAACAUGGUGAAUCCACAUAGCAUUCUGAUGGUUCUGUUUUCACACCAUCAGCCAUAGAAUCGCAUGGAUCAGAGCCAGCAGUUGAAAUAUGAAGAGGCCUCGUAUGGGAGACAGGGCUUGCCUCUUUGGAGCAGAUCUCCAUACCAACUUCCAAAAUUUGUGGAAAGGGGGCAUUUUUCACAGCAUCUUCGUUGGAUUUACUAACAUCUUUUGUCAUAGAUGACUUGCUCGUUAAACCACAACUGAUUUUAUUGGCUUCAGAUAUUUUAUUUGGUGGGCUUUCUAUCUUGACUGUUGAACAUCUGCUUCCAUUACUUCCCAUCCCAGGGUACAAGGGAUUUUUCUGGUUAUGAUUGGAGGCCAUCAUGACUGAAGGAUAUGAAAAUACCACAGAAGUAGAACAAAUCGAGGAUGGAUAAGCUGCAUCGCUGCCAAUUUCUGGCCAUUCCCUCGGCUGACUUGCGUUCGCUCCACAUGUGGAGGCUGGUAAAACUGUGUCAAAUGAUUGUGUUCGAAAGCAAGAUGUUGCUGACGACGAUGAUGGAUGAGCAUCUCCUAAAAUUUUAUUAUCUAAUCCAUGCACCACAAUGCUACCAUCCAUCGACCUAGAAACAUCACCGUUGUUACCAUCUUGGAGAGGGGCGCGGGCCGGGCGGACGGGGAGGGCGAAGGGAGCCGCGUGCGGGGAGAGGGUGGAGGACGAGGCGGAUUGAAUGGCGGCGGCGGCGGUGGAGGAGGAGGUCAUCUCCGGUGAGGUCGCCGG